rnacentral:tRNA from 1 species
AGCCCCGUGGUGUAGUGGUCAAUCAUACUGGCCUUUGGAGCCAGUGUCGGCAGUUCGAAUCUGCCCGGGGCUA